ensembl:snRNA U1 U1 spliceosomal RNA
GUUCUUACCUGGCAGAGGAGACACCAUGAUCAGGCAGGUGGUUUUCCCAGGGCGAGGCUCACCCCUUGCACUAUGGGUGUGCUGACCCCUGCGAUUUCCCGAAAUGUGGGAAACUUGACUGCAUAAUUUGUGGUAGUGGGGGACUGCAUUCGCGCUCUCCCCUG